rnacentral:lncRNA from 1 species
ACUUUAUCACUUGUUCUAGAAAAAAACGUCGCAUGUACUGGGAUUUUCUCCGGGAUGCCUUGUGAUAUUCUGACAUUGCUGGAUUCUUGUUAGAGAUGAACAUUUUUCCUUCUGUUUGUCUGUUAAUUUACAGACCUAGAAGAAGUUGCUUAUCACAUGUUGCCAAUGUUCAUGGAUAUAUACAGUUAUAUUAAUUUCCUUGAAAUUUCUUGUGACAUUUUUUUAGCUCUAAUAAGAUUUAUCUCUCGUCACAAGACUUUUACAAUAACUUGUGCUCCUAUGGUCUACCAAAAUAAUAAUAUUGCAGUAGAGACUAGUAGUCUAUUAUUAAUUGUGUGUUCAACUUAAAGCAGCGAGAAAAAUGUGUACCUUUUUCUUUUCUUUUUUUUCAAAGAAUUUUUUAUCUUUUUCCUCUGGGAGGAGGAUUGUCUGCCCUCCUAGUUUCAGUGCCCUUCCAUGCCAUCUUGAUUGUGUGGUCAUGGUUAAGCCACGUUAAUAUUUUAUAUUACUAUUUAUUUUUGUCUUAUUAUAUCUAUAAAAAAACAAUAUAAAAUAAUGAUGUGGCUUAACCGUGACCACACAAAACAGGAGGGCAUGGAAGAGCAUUGAAACUAGGAGGGCAGACAAUCCUCCUCCCUUCCUCUGACCCUUGCAUGCAGGUUUGGCAGUAAAGUAAGAGUUUCCACGCAAUUAAAAUAAUGGCAAACUAGUCUUUCGGUUUUGCACGAAGAUAGGAUAAUUUAUACUAAAUUAUUUUUUUGUCUUUUAUUAAAGAAUCAUUUAAAAAAAAAAGUUUUUAAGUGUUUGGGAUCUUUUAAAUACCAAUUUCAAUACAGCUAUUAGUUCAAGUAACAUAAUUUUUAGUUUAGGUACCAAUGAAAAAAUCAACUAAAAUAAUUCUAUAAAUACUAUUAUAAUUCAAAAUAAUUAUAUGAUUGCCGUGUUUUCCGACCAGCCAACUGUAUUCGCAACCACCUCACCCUUACAAUCAAUCUUAAUAACCAGGUUUCGACUAACCUCCUUGUACUGCAUUGUAAACGCAUACAUGAGCCAAGGGAGGAGCAUUACUAUUUUUGCAUUAUGAUAAAUAACCAUGAUUUUGAUGGGUAAUGUAGACUAGAAUUUCCAAUCAUUCCGAAGGGAGAAUGGUUCAAUAUGACCUAUAGACUACAAGAACUCAAAUUCCUUAUUUGUUAUCUUCUGUAAACCAUUCAUCAGAGCUCUUGACAGGCAGUGACCAUAUUUGAGGAAUGACUAGACGCAUGUUGGGGCGCCAUCAUGACUUCAUGGGUGAACAAUAGAAUUUCGUGUGUAAGUUUCUCUCCACAUACAUCGUGUUAACUUUGUUUUUCUAGUUUCCUAGCAUGUUCCAGUUCGUGCAUUUUCAGUUUUUGGAUAGUGGAAAGGUCAAGUUGGUAGCAAAUUGACACGGCGAAGACGUAAGUCUAAAAUUCAUUGUCACUAAUUCAAUUUACCAAGCUUAAUUGGCCUCUCUUAACCUACAAAAUUGUCAUAAUAAACUAGUAAUUUCACUUCAUGAAAAUCUUGCUCAAUGUUGUUUGACUUGUUUCCCUUCCUAAACAUCGAGAUGUUCGUUAAUUAUAUGCUAAUAAGUUCAUCUUCAAAUGGAUCAUAAAUUAAUAUAGCUAUGUGACUAAUUAAGUAGUAUAACUCCAAAAUGGUAAAGCAUAAUCCAUGAUAAUUUUGGUAAAUCUGGUGUCGGCAGGAUCAUGUUCAUCUUCUUCGUGUUGUGUGGCUCAGGUUGUUUAAGAGUUUUUUACUAUUUUAAAUUGAUUCUCUAUAUUAUCUACAAUGGCCUACAAAAAACUGAACCAAACACCCCCACAAAGGAAAGGGGUCCUUUUCAGAUCCUUUCGACCUAAUUAUCUUCAUCAAAUAAUCCGUGUUCUUAAAAUUUGAUUCAACAACUAAAAACACGGAUCUAUUUUAAAAAUUAUAAUAACUUUAGUUGUUGAAUCAGAUUUCAAGAACCUUAAUAAAGAAGAUUAGGUAAAAGGAAUCAAGAAAUGAUCCCUUUCGAUCACAAAAUAAUAUAAUCGGUGUUGAAAGGAAUGUAGCUCAGUUGUUUACCAGCAGUCACUCAUAACGUUUGGUUCCCCCCCAAAAUCGGUGUUGAAAUGAUCCCUUUCUCUCACACUCUUUUUUUUUUACUUCUCACAUACCUCUUGUUAACUUCUGUCAUUUGAUCUACUUCCAUUUAUCCGAUCCAACGGUCAAAAAUUAAAAGGGUGUGUGAGAGGUAAAAAUUGGUGUAUAGAUAUCACACCCUUUUACUAAAUCCUAAAUUGUACAACUCCUUCAAAUAUAUCAAGGACGAAUAUGGUAUCUUCUACAAACCAUCCAGUAGAGCUCUCAGCAUGCAAUGACCAUAUUUAGGGAAUGGACUAGACACAUGUUGGGGCAUUAUCAUGACAUCAUGGGUUAACAAUACAAUUUGUGUUUAGUCUCUCUUCACAUACAUUACGUUAACUUAGUUUUUCUACUUUCUUAGCAUGUUCGGGUUCGUGCAUUUUCACCUUUUGGGUAGUGGAAAGGUCAAGUUGUUGGGAGACUUAUUAGUAAAAAGCAAAUUCACACGGCAAGACAUAAAUCUAAAAUUACUUGUCACUAAUUCAAUUCCACUGAAUUUAAUUCUUCUCUCUUAAUCUUCAAAAUUAACAUAAUAAGCUAGUAAAUUUCACUUCAUGAAAAUCUUGCUCAAUGUUGUUUGACUUGUUUCCUUUCUUUAACAGCUAGAUGUCCAUUAAUUAUAUGCUAAUAAAACUUGCUCUUCAUCUUCAAUUGAUCUAAUAUAGCUUUGUGACUAAUUAAGUAGUAUAACUACAAGAUGGUAAACAAUAAUCCAUGGUAACUUUUUGCAGGAUUAUUUUCUACUUCUUUGUGUUGUGUGGCUCAGGCUGUUUGAGAGUCUCAACAUUAUCUACCAUGGCCUAUAAAAUUGAACCAAUCACCAUCUCAAAAUAAAAUAAUCGGUAUUGCAAGGAAAUGCAACUCGGUUGUUUACGAGCAAUCACUCUUCCACCCUGAGUUGCGUGUUUGGUUCCUCAUCUCCCAAAAUCGUUCGUAUAAAGGAAAAGAAAAGUAUAACCGUGUGGGACAUAGGAGAUAAGAAAGCAAUUAAAAAGAUAAAACAGCAUGAUCAUGACCCCACAAAAAAAUAAAGAGAAAGUAAAAAGAGGAAGACUUGCUGUGGUCUUUCAACACCUAAUCCUCAUUGCAAAUUGAAGAGCUCUAAAGUGGUCUGGAUCUGUUGAUUUUCAUAAUCUAUGGAAAACAAGUCCCUUCAUCUUCAUCAUCAUCUGAAAACUUGAACGCAGUAAGUUCCUCUUGCAACUAUAUAUGCGGAAUCCAUUAUUUAUAAAUUAAUUAUUUCAUUUUUCUUCAAGAUUGUAUGCUUAAUUAAUUAUUUCAUCGAUAACCAGCUAUAUAAUUUGUUCAGUUUUCAGCCUUAAUUAUUCCAUCAUUCAGUUUGGAUUUAUUGAUCAUCAGUGCAAACAAGCGCCCUCAUGACCUGACAGACUUCCAUGAAACUGCUUCUUGCUACAGAUCUUGUCCAAUAUCCGUGCAGAUUUCGAGUCUUGAAACGUAGGAUUGCAAGGUAAUCCCAAAACUGCCCCAUUUUAUUUGUUCAACAUGUUAAAAUUUAAGAAAAAUGAUGCAUUGCUUACUAGCAUGAUUUUUUCAAUCUUGAGUUUUUAUGGUGUGUUUUAUUGUGCCUUAUCAUUGAGUAAUAUUAUGGUGUACGUGUUUUUCUUUUGACAAACGAUAACGUUAGUAGGUUAAAUUGUUAGUCCCGUACUGGAACACCAACCAGGUUACCCAAAAAAUGAUUCACACACCCAUCUUUAUUCUAUAACUUAAUUCCAUGCUUGUCCCUCGAUACUCGUGAGCGAAAGGGAGGGUCCAAGCGGAUAUGAAAAUGAUCUAUUACUCCAAAGUCUACUUCAUAUGGCCAAUUAUUAGGUGUGUGAUCCUCAUCAUCAACUAUACUUUUUAUAAGGAAUAUCAUUCAUAACCCAGCUAUAAGCAUGCCGAUAUCGUUGAAAGCAUUAAAACAAUGAAAAAUAUGAAGUCUUACCCAGUGGCAGAUCGAAGAUUUUAAUAUCGGUGGUCCUAAUAUAAAGGCCCUAAAAAAUAUUAAGCGAAAAAUAAUAUUGAAAAUUAAAUGCUAGACUACAAUUUUUCAUUCAUAAUUUUUGUACAAACAACAUUACAAGCUACAAAGUACAAAGACUUAUUUGUCAACGAUGAGGUAUGCGUAAUAUCGUUCCAUACUUCUAAUUUCUACACAUAUCAAUUACUCAAAACAAAAAAAAAACAUAUUAAUUGAUGAAGCUAAAAGAAAAAAAAUACCUAUAACUAUUAUGAAUUUAACAUUCUACAACAACAACAACAACAACAACAAAGCCUUUUCCCACUAAGUGGGGUCGGCUAUAUGAAUCCUAGAACGCCAUUGCGCUCGGUUUUGUGUCAUGUCCUCCGUUAGAUCCAAGUACUCUAAGUCUUUUCUUAGAGUCUCUUCCAAAGUUGUCCUAGGUCUUCCUCUACCCCUUCGGCCCUGAACCUCUGUCCCGUAGUCACAUCUUCGAACCGGAGCGUCAGUCGGCCUUCUUUGCACAUGUUCAAAAUCACCGGAGCCGAUUUUCUCUCAUCUUUCCUACAAUUUCGGCUACUCCUACUUUACCUCGGAUAUCCUCAUUCCCAAUCUUAUCCUUUCUCGUGUGCCCACACAUCCCACGAAGCAUCCUCAUCUCCGCUACACCCAUUUUGUGUACGUGUUGAUGCUUCACCACCCAACAUUCUAUGCCAUACAACAUCGCUAGCCUUAUUGCCGUCCUAUAAAAUUUUCCCUUGAGCUUCAGUGGCCUACGACGGUCACACAACACGCCGGAUGCACUCUUUCCAUCCAGCUCGUAUUCUAUGGUUGAGAUCUCCAUCUAAUUCUCCGUUCUCUUGCAAGAUAGAUCCUAGGUAGCGAAAAACGAUCGCUUUUUGUGAUCUUCGCUAGAUUGCUCCGGUCAUUAGUGUGGAUAAGUAUAUAAAUGGAUAGAGAUAGGAAAGCAAACACAAGAUGUACGUGGUUCACCCAGAUUGGCUACGUCCACGGAAUAGAAGAGUUCUCAUUAAUUGUGAAGGGUUUACACAAGUACAUAGGUUCAAGCUCUCAUUUAGUGAGUACAAGUGAAUGAUUUAGUACAAAUGACAUUAGGAAAUAUUGUGGGAGAAUGAUCUCGUAAUCACGAAACUUCUAAGUAUCGGAGUGUGGUGUCGUCUUGACUUGCCUUAUCUAUCUCAUAGGUAGAUGUGGCAUCUUCUCUGGAAGUACUCUUCCUCCAUCCAGGGGUGGUAUCUUUAACUGGUGGAGAUGCACAAGGUAAUGUAUCAAUUUCACUUGAAGCUUACUUGUAGUUUCAGGCUUGGUCAAGCGCGAUACAAACCAUGUAGUAGGAGUCCCCCAAGUCGCCGAGCUAGGGGGUCUGCUGAAAGAGGUGACAGACAAGGUAAGCAAUCAGAGCUCCGACUGAUUGUUCACCUUCUCCCCAUCUUGCAGCAGCAUGAAGGAUAAAGAGAAGAAAAAUGAGAAGAGAUGAUAUGAGAUACUUUUGCUUUUGAAGAAGUAACUUUCCACAGGCUUAUUCUUGAACUGAGCUGGAGGGUUUUCUGGUUUCCUCCAGAGUAUAAGGCCGACUGAAGAAUUUGAGGGUCAAAACAAGUCCAUCAAAUCUAGAGUACGUUCCACCCUGCUGAUAUGGGAUACUUUUGCUUUUGACAGAGUAAUGAAUGUAUCGACCCGUGUGCUGUUACGCUUGUCUCCACAUGCUUCCUUGUAUCCUUCGCACUUGCCCUAUCUGUUCCUCAAGCAGAUGCGGAAUCUUCCCUGGAAACAUAAGAUGUUGAAGAUGAGUACUCGAGAGCAAUGCCAGGUAAGUAAUCAGGUAAGGGGUUCCAGGCAGUCAGUUCCUGGCUGGAAGCUUGAUUCCAAGUGCUGACUGAUUGCUCUCUUUCUCCUUGUCUUGCAGGUAAAAAACAAGGCCAAAAGAAAAGACAGGGAAAAAGCAUGAUAUGGGAUACUCUUGCUUUUAACCCUGAUGAUAUGAGAUAUUCUUGCUCUAGUAUAGCUUGUUUGCAGAGGUAUUAUCGGGGGGAAAGAAAGCUGAAAUAUUUCGAAAGGCUUCGUUGGGAGUGCCCUCUCAAAUAUGAUGAAGGGUUGAGCAUUUUUGCAGGUCUGCCUGUCCGUUGGGGAUGGAGGUCGACAUAUAUAGGAGUCUCCCUAACAACAAGUAGUAAUGCUAUUCCUUUACCCUGCUUGGUCAUAGCACGGUAGUGGGAGCUGCCAGUUUCACAUGUUUUAACUCUGUCAGAGCACUUUGAAAAAGUGGUCUGUGGUAUCUGGCUCUCGAGAUUUGGAGAACGAUGCCUCUUCGAUUUUUGAGAAAGCAAUCAUGCUGGGGGUAUGACUCUCGAGAUUCGGAGAGCAGUGUCUCUUCGAUUUUUGAGGAAGUAAUCAUGUUGGGAGUCUGGCUCUCGAGAUUCGGAGGGCGGUGCCUCUUCGAUUUUGGAGCAAACAAUCUUGUUGGGAGUGUUGUCUCGAAUGUGAGUAAAGGUUGGGCAUGUUUGCUAGUCUACCUUGCCACGAAGCACAAAGGUUGACACACAGGGACUUUCCAAUUAUCCAGCAAUGGUACUGUUCCUUUACCUCUCUCUUCGAUUUUGAGAAAGUAGUCAUGUUGGGAGUCUGGCUCUCGAGAUUCGGAGGAUGGUGCCUCUUCGAUUUUGGAGCAAGCAAUCUUAUUGGGAGUGUUUUUCUCGAAUGUGAGUAAAGGUUGGGCAUGUUUGCUAGUCUACCUUGCCACGAAGCACAGAGGUUGACACACAGGGACUUUCCAAUUAUCCAGCAGUGGUACUGUUCCUUUACAGUUGUGGGUAAUAAUAUGGUAGCUAGACCUUCAAAAUUUAUGUGUCUAAACUUUUGUUAGUGCUGUUUCUUUGCUAUUCUUUUACCUUUCUUGGUCAGAGCGAUGUAGUGGGAGCUGCAAGCUUCACGUGCUCAACUUUGGCAGAGAACUUUGGCAAAGUUAUUUGUGGUACCCAUGAGCUAUUGUUGCGUGUGGGAAGUGGGUGUGAUUGAACAGUAAGAUUCAUGUGCUUUCUACUUCACCAGAAGUCUUCGACAGAAUGCCCAUAAUUUCUGCAAAGCUGAGUGUGCGUGUGACAGGUGCUGACAAGGCUAGAAAAGUAGGUGCCUCUUCGAUUUCUGAGAUCGGCCCUCGUGGUCUCUGAGCAGCCCAGCUUUUGAGAAAGCGAGCGCCUCUUCGAUUGAUUCGGAGAACGAUGCCUCAUCGAUUUUUGAGAAAGCAAUCAUGCUGGGGGUCUGGCUCUCGAGAUUCGGGGAGCAGUGUCUCUUCGAUUUUUGAGAAAGUAAUCAUGUUGGGAGUCUGGCUCUCGAGAUUCGGAGGGCGGUGCCUCUUCGAUUUUGGAGCAAGCAAUCUUGUUGGGAGUGUUUUCUCGAAUGUGAGUAAAGGUUGGGCAUGUUUGCUAGUCUACCUUGCCACGAAGCACAGAGGUUGACACACAGGGAGUUUCCAAUUAUCCAGCAAUGGUACUGUUCCUUUACCCUCUCUUCGAUUUUUAAGAAAGUAGUCAUGUUGGGAGUCUGGCUCUCGAGAUUCGGAGGACGGUGCCUCUUCGAUUUUGGAGCAAGCAAUCUUAUUGGGAGUGUUUUCUCGAAUGUGAGUAAAGGUUGGGCAUGUUUGCUAGUCUACCUUGCCACGAAGCACAGAGGUUGACACACAGGGACUUUCCAAUUAUCCAGCAGUGGUACUGUUCCUUUACCCUUGUGGGUAAUAAUAUGGUAGUUAGACCUUCAAAAUUUAUGGGUCUAAACUUUGUUAGUGCUGUUUCUUUGCUAUUCUUUUACCCUUCUUGGUCAGAGCGAUGUAGUGGGAGCUGCAAGCUUCACGUGCUCAACUUUGGCAGAGAACUUUGGCAAAGUUAUCUGUGGUACCCAUGAGCUAUUGUUGCGUGUGGGAAGUGGGUGAUUGAACAGUAAGAUUCAUGUGUUUUCUACUUCCCCAGAAGUCUUUGACAGAAUGCCCAUAAUUUCCGCAAAACUGAGUGUGCGUGUGACAGGUGCUGACAAGGCUGGAAAAGGCUGGAAAAAGUAGGUGCCUCUUCGAUUUCUGAUAUCGGCCCUCGUGGUCUCUGGGGAGCCCAGCUUUUGAGAAAGCGAGCGCCUCUUCGAUUUUUGAGAUCGGCCUUCGUGGUCUUUGAGCAGCCCAACUUUUGAGAAAGCAAACGCCUCUUCGAUUUCUGAGAUCAACCCUCGUGAUCUCUAAGCAGCCCAGCUUUUGAGAAAGCAAACGCCUCUUCGAUUUCUGAGCAGGCGCCUCUUCGAUUUCUGAAGCUUCGUCGAGUGCAGAUUUUUAUAGGGGCUGGCAUUAAGUUCCAAAGCACACUUGAAUCUCCACCAGUAGAAGCUUCAUUCUUGCACUUCUAAGAUCUUGAUUUGUCCGACCUCUUCUCUCUUCAACACCUUUGAAAAUGUCUGGCCCCUCCGACCGUCGUUUUGACUUGAACCUUGUUGAAGAGGCAGCCCCGCCUUCUCCAGACAACAUAUGGCGCCCAUCCUUCGUCUCCCCUACUGGUCCUCUUACCGUUGGGGAUUCCGUGAUGAAGAAUGAUAUGACCGCUGCGGUGGUGGCCAGGAACCUUCUCACUCCCAAAGAUAACAGACUACUUUCCAAACGGUCUGAUGAGUUAGCUGUUAAGGAUUCGCUGGCUCUCAGUGUUCAGUGUGCAGGUUCUGUGUCUAAUAUGGCCCAACGCCUAUUUGCUCGAACCCGCCAAGUUGAAUCAUUGGCGGCUGAAGUGAUGAGUCUCAAACAGGAGAUUAGAGGGCUCAAGCAUGAGAAUAAACAGUUGCACCGGCUCGCACAUGACUAUGCUACAAACAUGAAGAGGAAGCUUGACCAGAUGAAGGAAACUGAUGGUCAGGUUUUACUUGAUCAUCAGAGAUUUGUGGGUUUGUUCCAAAGGCAUUUAUUGCCUUCGUCUUCUGGGGCUGUACCGCGUAAUGAAGCUCCAAAUGAUCAACCUCUGAUGCCUCCUCCUUCUAGGGUUCUGUCCAGUACUGAGGCUCCAAAUGAUCCCCCUCCGGUGCCUUCUCUUUCUGGGGCUCUACCGACUGCUGAGACUUCUCCUAAGCAACCUUUGUGAAGGCUCCCUCUUGUGUGCUUAUUUUGACUCAUGUAUAUGUACAUAUUUGUAGCUUAUCGGGGAUAUCAAUAAAUAAGCUUUCCUUGUACAUAUUUGUAGCUUAUCGGGGAUAUCAAAAAAUCAUAAUAGUUAAAACAAUACCUAUAAUUAUUAUGAAUUUAACAUUCUACAUGAUUAAUUUAGACUAAAAUAAAAAUCUCAGUUAAAUUUAGAAACGAGGGGAUUAAGUGGUGGUGAAGAAAGGACAGCAGAAUGGUAGGUUAUGUCGGUGGUGUGGACCGUGUGAUCAAUCUGAUCGUGGUUUGUGGAGACUGGAGAGGAGACUGGUAUUGUGCUGAUGGUCUUCGGUUGGGACAAGGAUUGUCUGCCCUUCCACUUCCGGUGUCCUUCCGUGUCCUCCUGUUUUGUGUGGUCACAGUUAAGCCAAGUUAACAUUUUAUAUUGUUUUUUUAUAGAGAUAAUAAGACAAAAAUGAAUAGUAAUAUAAAAUGUUGACGUGACUUAACCGUGACCAUACAAAUAAGAGGGCACGAGAGGGCAUUGGAAGUGGGAGGGUAGACAAUCCUUGUCCCUUCGGUUGAGUGGGGUGGGGUUUUCAAGCUACGCAUCAAAACACACCGUUUUACUUAAAUGACUUGACUCCUUUAAAAAGAAAAAAAAGAAAAAAAAGAAAAAAAAAAAACUUCUUCUCUCCAUCUCGGUUGCAGAAUACCAGAAGACCCACCAGAAGUCAGAACACGGUGCGGCCCCACUCUUCUUCUCCUCCACCACACUUGGUGGUCCACGGAGGUCCUUGCAGCCACUUGUUCGGGCUUCCGGAUGGUCCCAAGACCACCCAAGUCUCUUAGUAGAUGGUAUUACCUCAUGUGAAGCUUCCGAAACAACUUUGAUAUAUUUUUCUCAAAUUAUUAUGAUUGGUUGAAAUUUUUUUUUUAAUUUCCAGCCACGUUAAUUAAGGAUGAAUCAUUUUAUCUCUUAUUUAAGAAUAUUUGUUAAAAACAAAUGUAAAAAUAUUUGUUCCUUGAUCCUAACUUAUUUUGUAUAUAUUAGGAAAAAGAACAUUUCCAUAAAACGUAACAGGACUGCAUACCUGACGGGACGGUUAUGGUGUAGGCAAUCCCUAGCCAUUCCCAAAUUGUCACCUCUAGAUAUGCUUUGCUAGGAGUCCAUUAAUUGAUUACUUCACUGUUACUAUAAAUUUGUAUGUGAUUGCGCAGGCAUCAAUAAUUACUUCUCAUCAUUUUAAUUUGUGCAGUUGUGACUAUUUCUGAGCCUCAACAGAUCAAGCUUCCAAAUUUCCAAGGAACUAGUCUUUGGCUGUUACUCUUCCCUUCGUUGAGUUCUGCACCUCAAUAUUGCUCAAGAACGUUUCACUAUUUCUUUGAUUUCUUGGAGUGCCCUUCACUCUUAACAUGGCACUGGGAGAGGGUUUUCUUGCGGCGUUUCUAAAGGUGCUGCUCAACAGGUUGACCUCCCGCGAGAUUCUCAACUACAUUGGAAACUUCCGGGGCGUCAGAAAGAAGCUGGACAAGUGGAGGGCCGUGUUAACUGCAAUAGGAGCGGUGCUCAGCGAUGCCGAGGAAAAACAACUCACUGAGGAUGCUGUGAAACUGUGGCUCGAUGAUCUCAGAGACUUGGCUUAUGAUGUCGAAGACAUGUUGGACAAAUUUGACACCCAAAUGUUGAAGCGCAUGAUAGAGGGACGUGAUCAAGCCCGCACAAGCAACAAGGUGCGGACCUCACUUUUCAAAAUUAAAUUCAAUAGGGAUAUGAACUCCGAAAUGAAGAAGAUUACGGAGCGGUUGCAAGACAUAUCUGAACGGAAAGAGAAGUUUGGCUUGAAAGAUACUGGGACGUCUGCUAAGGAAUCGCGAAGUCUACCAAGUUCAGAUGUGUUAGAUGAAAAGCUAGUUGUUGGAAGGGAUGGUGACAAAGGGGAGAUUAUUGAAUUGUUGUCAAGAAAAUACGAGCAUGAAGGUGCUGUCAAUUUUGGUGUAGUUGCUAUAGUUGGCAUGCCCGGAGUUGGGAAGAUGACACUUGCUCAACUUGUAUUCAACCACAAAGAUGAUGCCAUGAAGGAGUUUGAGCCUAAGGUGUGGGUAUCUGUGUCUGAUGACUUCAAUGUGGUGCGAGUGACAAAGGCAAUUCUUGAAUCCAUCACAUCCCGACCCGUUCAAAUGGAGGAGUUUAGUAAAAUUCAGCAUGAUUUGUGUGAGCAAUUAAGAGGAAAAAAGUUUUUAAUCGUGUUAGAUGAUAUCUGGAACAAAGGCGACUAUGAUCUACACGAUCUCUGGACAAGACUUAAAUCCCCUUUUGGCGUCGGAGCAGGAGGAAGUAAGAUUAUUGUGACAACCCGUGAUGUGCAUGUUGCAAGGACUAUGGGAGCCACGGGAGUUCAUAAUUUGGAAUGUAUGGCAGAUGAUGAUUGUUUGGAAAUAUUUGAGCGACAUGCAUUUGGGGAAGUUAAUAGUGUAAAACCAGUAAAUUAUGAGUUGAUUCGGACAAAAAUUGUUGAAAAAUGUUGUGGCUUACCAUUAGCUGCGAGGACUCUCGGUGGUCUCUUACUUUGCAAAGAAAAAGAUGAGUGGGGAGAAAUAUUGGACAACAAACUAUGGAAUCUUGCAGAUAACAGUAGCCUUCUCCCCGUACUAAAGUUGAGCUAUCACUAUCUUCCAUCACAUUUGAAGAGGUGUUUUGCCUACUGCUCAAUACUUCCAAAUGACUACGAAUUUUGGGAGAAGCGGCUCGUCCUUUUGUGGAUGGCAGAGGGUUUGAUUCAACAAAAACCUGAUGACAAUAAACAAAUGGAGGAUUUGGGCCGCGACUACUUUCGAGAGCUAUUAGCAAGGUCGCUGUUUCAAGAAUCAAGCAAAACCAAUUCAAGAUAUGUAAUGCAUGACCUCGUUAAUGAUUUAGCACAUUGGGCAGCAGGAGAAAUAUGUUUUAGGUUGGAAGAUAAGCAAGGUGAUAACUUGCAAAGCACUUGCUUUCAAAGGGCUCGCCAUUCGUCUUUCAUUGCUGGUGAAUUUGAUGGAGUUACGAGAUUUGAGGACUUCCCAAAAGCUGAACGCUUGCGAACAUUCCUGCCACUUUCACUUUCAGAUUCUGGUGGAUGGUACAAAUGUUUGUCUCGUAAGGUUACUUUUGAGCUAUUACCACAGUUGCAAUACUUACGAGUGCUCUCGUUCAAUUGCUACACAAUAACUGAGCUGCCAAAGUCAAUCGGUGAUUUGAGGUUGUUACAGUAUCUUGACCUUUCCUACACAGAUAUAACCUGUUUGCCUAAGUCAACAAGCACUCUUUACCACUUGCAAACAUUGAUAUUGGAAGGUUGUUCUAAAUUGAAGUCAUUGCCCACAAACAUGAGUAAUCUAAUUAAUUUGCGCCAUCUCAACAACUCAGGUGCAUAUUCGUUGGAAGGAAUGCCUUGGCAACUAGGUCGAUUGACGAAUCUACAAUCAUUGCCUCUUUUUGUGGUGAGCAAAGGUAGUGAUCAAUCAGGGAUAAGAGAGAUAGGGCCCCUAUUGCAUCUUCGAGGGACACUGUGCCUCUCAAGAUUGGAGAAUGUGACUGAUGUCAAGGAUGCCAGGAGGGCCAACUUGAAAUGCAAGGAGAGGCUUGAUUCGUUGGUCCUAAAAUGGUCUCAUUCAAGCGACACGAGAGAAACGGAAUCCGUUGUGCUUGACAUGUUAGAGCCUCAUACAAAGCUCAAGGAGCUCACCAUCAAGAGUUAUGCCGUAGAGGAAUUUUCAUCAUGGGUUGGAGGUCAUUUGUUCUCUAAUAUGGUGCUUGUGCGGUUAGAGGAAUGUAACAAUUGUUUAUCGGUGCCACCUCUCGGACAAUUGCCUCAUCUCAAAGAACUUUAUAUUAGAGGAAUGAAUGCAGUGGAAAGUGUUGGUGCUGAGUUUUAUGGCGAGUGUAUCUUGCCUUUUCCGCUGUUAGAGAUUCUUGAGUUUGUGGAUAUGUAGCAUUGGAAGGUGUGGCUUCCUUUCCAACUGGAUCACGAAAGUGCUUUUUUCCCUUGCCUGAAAAGGCUUUCAAUCAAACGAUGUUCAAAGUUGGAAGGUGAGCUGCCAGAGAAGCUCGAUUUGUUAGCCGAACUUGAAAUUGUUAAAUGUGAGGAAUUGGUGGUUUCGAUUGCCAACUACAAACAACUUCGUCAAAUAAAAAUUGACGGUUGUAAAGUGUUGGUACAUACAGAUGCUAAGGUUGAGUUUGAGUUAUUAGAGUCCUUGUGGCUUUCAAACAUUUCGGAGGUGACGUCUCUGCAAACAGGGGAAUUGUUCAGGAAGGGAUUAAGCAAGGUUAGAGAUUUGAAGAUCCAUGGAUGUGAGAAGCUGACGUCUUUAUGGAAGAAUGAGGAUGCUAAGGUUGAGUUUGAGUUAUUAGAGUCCUUGUGGCUUUCAAACAUUUCGGAGGUGACGUCUCUGCUAACAGGGGAAUUGUUCAGGAAGGGAUUAAGCAAGGUUAGAGAUUUGAAGAUCCAUGGAUGUGAGAAGUUGACGUCUUUAUGGAAGAAUGAGGCUAGAUUAUUGCAGCGGUUGACUUGUCUUGGCCGUUUGGAAAUUGAAGACAACUCUUGUCUAGUUGAAGAAUUGGGAAAAGAAGCAGAGGAGUUGAUGCAAUUGCAAAUAUUGGAGUGCAAGCUUGAAUUUCUGGAGUUAAACAAGUGCGAAAAUCUUUGGACGCUACCAAAAGGAUUAAAUCAGCUGUCGUCUCUUAAAGAGCUUCGCAUUCACGAAUGUUCACGUCUAGUUUCUUUCCCAGAUGUUGGUCUGCCACCUUCUCUUAAAGACAUUGAGAUUAUAUCGUGCGCUUCGUUGAUAUAUUUUGCAAAAUUCCAGAUUCCCCAAAAUCUAAGAAGAAUAGAUAUAAGAGAUUGCAAAAGUUUGAAAUCACUAGUAGAUGAGGAGGAAUGUGAACGACUGGGUUUAAUAGCACCGAACGGGUUCUUCAGCGACAACACCAAUCACUGCCUUGAAUAUAUUCUGAUCUCGAAUUGCCAAAAUCUGAAAUCCUUACCGGAUGGCUUAUGCCACCUCAGCAAUCUUCAAAAGCUAUAUAUUGAACUAUGUGGAAGUCUUGUUUCCAUCCCGAGACUGAGUGGGGGGAGAAGACCCUCCAACCUGAGAACGAUCUGGAUCAUCGGAUGCGACAAAUUGGAGGCGUUGCCCGAAAACAUGCACAAUCUCAACUCUCUUGAGGAUUUGAGCAUCGACUACCGUGAAGGUUUGACUUUUCCUCCCAACCUAACAUCACUUGAUCUUUGGAAGGUCAAGAGUUGUAAGUCAUUGUGGGAGUUGGAGUGGGGGUUGCACAGACUCACCUCUCUUAGAUACUUGUAUAUCGACAGUGAAGACCCGGAUACGGUGUCGUUUCCACCCGACAUGGUACGGAUGGAGACGCUCUUCCCCAAAUCUCUCACUAACCUCGCAAUAGGUGGCUUCCCGAAUCUAAAGAAACUGAGCAGCAAGGGCUUUCAAUUCCUCACCUCCCUUCAAUCUCUGAAACUCUUCCGUUGUCCAAAGCUAGCAUCUAUUCCAAAGGAGGGUCUGCCUCCUUCGCUAGAGGAACUUUGGAUCGAAGGGUGUCCAGUGCUAAAAGAGAGAUGUCAACCAGGAAAAGGACGCUACUGGCACAAAAUAUCCCACAUCCCUUACAUAAGGAUAGAUUAUAAGAAGAUAUGAAGCUGAUGGUCCAGGUAUCAUCUCUCGAGGAAUGUUUUAAUAUUAAUAUUAUUAUUAUUAAUAUCUCACAUCCCUUUCAUAAGCAUAGAUUGGGAGUUGAUAUGAAGCUGAUGGUCCAGGUAUCAUCUCUCAAGGAAUGUUUUAAUAUUAAUAUUAUUAUUAUUAUUAAUCAUCUUUAUUCUUGUAAAGUAAAGUAAUCCACAUAUUUUGGUUUGGGUCAAGGCUUUGGGGGUUGAGGAGUGGCUACUUUGGGAGGCCUUUCAAUUGGCGUCAACGGGGAUAUUUCUCCGCCAACGUUUCUUCUCCCAGAUUCCUAUAUUUGCUUCUUUCUUUCUUUUUUUUAUUGGUAAACGAUUGCUAUGUUUGCUUGGUCCCUUUUCAUUGAUUUGUAUUAUAACUUUAUAAAUGUGCUACUCUUUCUCCCAGCAAGAUUUUAAUCAGGCCACUUUAAUCUAAUCUUUUAUUUUAUUUUAGCAAAUUUUGACUUAUGAGCUAGUAAUGCAUUUUAUUUAAUGCAUCGAGAAUAAGCAAUCAACAAAGAAAUGGAAAUGUAAAGAGCUCGUUGCUCAAGUGGGUACAAGAGUGAUUUUACCCUUGGCCGUUUGUUAUGCACUUGCUAGAGGCUUGUGGAACGAUGACCACUAAAUGACUUCCUUUACUAUAACUUGUCUUCCUGAAAGUAGAAAAUACGUGCCAACGAAUUUUGGUCAAUCAAAUCCUUAUACCAAGCCUUCAUCACUUGUUCAAAAAAUGCAUUAUUCAUCUAAUUGAUAUGUGAUAAAUUGGUGAUGAUUAUGCAUUUUAACCGAGUUCUAAGGAAAAUUGAAGAUAGUAAUACAUCAGUACUAAAACUACAAAAUAUUACUGAAUUUGUAUACUUAUUACUUGGGUGCCCUCUGCCUUGCUGUGCUGAAUAACAAUGAGAAUAUAUUACUGAAUUCUAGCAGGAAAAAGGCAGGCCACUCUCAAAAUUUGGUGAAUGGGACGUCAAUGAUCCUGCUUCAGCUGAGGGGUUUACUGUGAUCUUUAACAAGGCUAGGGAUGAGAAGAAGACAGGUGGAAAACCGGAGUCACCAGGAAAGGUUGAUCCUAAUAUCAGGCAUGGAGGAGUGGAUACUGGCACUGGCACUGGCAGGCCUUCGUCUGUAAGAUUUUUUCUCAUAACUCUGUCUCAUUUCUUUGUCUAAUGAUUUGAUAAUAUACACAUGAGACAGCCAAUAGCAAUACAUUCUUUACGGUUUUCUUAGUUGCAAGUUAUUGCUUUUCAAGUGACGUCAGUAGUACAACACAGCAUACCAUUUGAUGUGAAAAUCAAUGCAACUGACUUAUAUAGAACUCUAGUAAGGAAAUGUGGCAAAAGACAGAUCUAAUGUUAGGGCCAAGAUAUUUGAAAAAUAAAAGAACACAAGAUGAUUCGGCUGUUUUAUCUGCAUUAUUCCAUGGGAGUGGAAUUGGCAUACGUUAACUUCACUCAGGUUCCAUCUCCUUUUAGACAGAUGUAGCCUAAUAGGAACAUUUGUUUGUUUUAUUGUGAACAAUUGAAAGAACUAUUGGCCCUUGAAAUAUUUGCUCUUGUCAAUUGAUCAUUGUGUGGCCUUUUCGUUUUCUGUGUCUGCUGCAUUUCCAAUUAGUAGAAUAAUAGAACGAAUAACUGGACGGUAAUUAUUUCUGCUGCCAAAAUCUAAUAUGCUUAAAUUCCUCACUCUUUGUGGAUGAUUUGAUUUGGUUUGAUUUCCUGGUGCACAGAAAAAAUGGUUUUGCAGCAUUCAUCAACCACCAGCAGUUUUGUUGACAAUGUUGUUCUCCUAAGUGCUCCGAUGGAGGAGCACGGUGUUCUGUAACUGGCUCCACUAUAUUUCCUCUCUCACUGUAUGUCUAUGAAAUUGGCAGCCGGGUAAGUGAAGUUUGAAGCAAUGGUUAGCAGUUUGCCUAAGGAAAUCGUACAUGAUAUCCUUUUGAGACUACCUCCUAAAGCUUUGAUGAGAUGCACCUCGGUGUCCAAGCCUUGGAACUCCAUGAUAAAAAGUCCCAGCUUUAUUCGCACCAAGGUAUAAAAUAUCAAUGAUAUCGGAAAUGUCGGUAGUCCAAAAACACGGAAAUUUCGAUGGAAAUAUCGGGAUAUUAUCGAUAUCGAUAAAAAUUGAAUAAAAACCAUGGAAAUUGUUAGAAAAACUUGGAAAUUUUUAUUGAAACUUUGCUGGAUGUUUAUUUAGUCAAUUAUCUAUUAGUUUAUUACAAAAAAUUGGAAGGAAAUGCAUUGCAUGAUAGAUAUAACUGAUUUAAAUUGAUUAUAUAGCGAGCUGGCAAACAUGGUGAGUGUAGAAAAUAUGUAGUAAUUAAUGAAAGAAGUUUAAACACACCAUAAUCAUUUAUAUAUAAUGAAUUAGUACAAUAUUUUACACUUUAUACAUUUCAUGGUAAGAUACAUGAGUGACUUAGCAAGGUCUAAAAUAUCGAUGAUAUCGGAAAUAUCGGUAGUCCAAAAAAAUAUCACUAGUCCAAAAACGCGGAAAUUUCGAUGGAAAUAUCGGGAUAUUAUGGAUAUUUUAGACCAUGAUUCGCACCCACCUCAGCCGUACCAUCGAUUUUAAGCAGUUUGGCACCCACCGACUCCUUCUGCAUUGUGUUAGUGGAGACAAUCCAGUGGAGCAGAAUUACUAUUUGCAUUAUGAUAACCAUGCUUUUGAUGAGUACUGCAAGCUAGAGUAUCCAAGUGUUCCCAAGCGCAAGAGAUUUCUUCGUGUGGUCGGAAUGCGAGGAUCCGAAUACUUUUUAUGGGCUUAUUCACUUGCUAGAGGCUUGUGGAGUAGUCCUUGUUCUUUUGAUCCCGUUUGUAAAGUUUUUUAUUCUUGCAAAUUUCAGGCUUUUGUGAACUGGGCAGUUCAUUGGCUGGCAUGGCGCUGCUUGAACGAUGGUCGUUAUCAAAAUUUCAUUUUAGCAAUUGAUGUGGACGGUGAGUUAUUUUGCGAGAUAAGGGUGCUAAAGAGUUUCAGACAGGAUGAACCAUUAGAUUAUCACUUGUCUGUUUCAGGUGAUGGAAACUCCGUUGCUAUGUUCACGACAACGCGUGGUCGUAAUUGUCCUGAGGAUUUUCUUGACAUAUGGGUGAUGAAAGAGUAUGGCAUCGAGGAUUCAUGGGCCAAACUGAUAACUCUAAGUCCACCGGAUCCGGAAAGAAGGGUGCCCUACAAGCCCUUAUGUUUUAGGAACAAUGGUGAAGUAGUGUCCUGACUUUAUCACUUGUUCUAGUAAAAAACGUCGCAUGUACUGGGAUUUUCUCAGGGAUGCCUUGUGAUAUUCUGACAUGGGUAAAUUGUAGCAAUGGUCCCUCAUUUUUUAAUCAAAUUGGAGCAAUGAUUCGUCAACUAAAAUUUCAUUACCAUUGGUCCCUCAAUUUAUGAAAAUGUGUAGCUAUAGUCAUAUUCAUCAAUUUUGUCUAAAUAAGUUAUGUUGGAAUAAUCAUUUAUAUAAUUAGGGUCCCUCAAUUCAUCAAAGUGUGUAAUUAAGGUUCUUUUCGUCAACUACGUCAAAAUUUUUGUCAAAACGAGUUAUGUUGGACGGAUCAUUGCUACAAUUAGGUUAAAGUUAAGGGACUAUUUCUCCAGUUGAAUUAAAGUUGAGGGAUCAAUGGUAAUAGAUUUUUAGUUAAGAGACCAUAGCUGCACAUUUUGAUGAGUUGAGGGACCAAUAAUAAUGAAUUUUUAGUUGAGUGACCAUUGCUCCAAUUGAGUUAAAGUUAAGAGACCAUAGCUACAAUUUACUCUUCUAACAUUGCUGGAUGUUAGCUAGAGAUGAACAUUUUUCCUUUAGUUUGUCUGUUAAUUUAGAGACCUAGAAGAAGUUGCUUAUCACAACAUGUUGCCAAUGUUCAUGGAUAUAUACAGUUAAAUUAAUUUCUUUGAAAUUGCUUGUGAUAUUUUCGUGCCAAAUAGGAAGAGAAGAAAAUUGCAUAUCUUAUUUUUUUAGCUCUAAUAAGAUUUAUCUAGUCACGAGACUUUUACAAU